CGCCAGACUCCUACGGGAGGCAGCAGUGGGGGAUAUUGCACAAUGGGGGGAACCCUGAUGCAGCGACGCCGCGUGGGUGAAGAAGUAUUUCGGUAUGUAAAGCCCUAUCGGCAGGGAAGAAAUUGGACGGUACCUGACUAAGAAGCCCCGGCUAACUACGUGCCAGCAGCCGCGGUAAUACGUAGGGGGCAAGCGUUAUCCGGAUUCACUGGGUGUAAAGGGAGCGUAGACGGCCAUGCAAGCCUGGAGUGAAAGCCCGGGGCCCAACCCCGGGACUGCUCUGGAAACUGCCGGGCUGGAGUGCCGGAGGGGCAGGCGGAAUUCCUGGUGUAGCGGUGAAAUGCGCAGAUAUCAGGAAGAACACCGGUGGCGCAGGCGGCUUGCUGGACGGCAACUGACGCUGAGGCUCGAAAGCGUGGGGAGCAAACAGGAUUAGAUACCCUAGUA
rnacentral:rRNA from 1 species